AUUGAACGCUGGCGGCAGGCCUAACACAUGCAAGUCGAGCGGAUGAGUGGAGCUUGCUCCAUGAUUCAGCGGCGGACGGGUGAGUAAUGCCUAGGAAUCUGCCUGGUAGUGGGGGACAACGUUUCGAAAGGAACGCUAAUACCGCAUACGUCCUACGGGAGAAAGUGGGGAUCUUCGGACCUCACGCUAUCAGAUGAGCCUAGGUCGGAUUAGCUAGUUGGUGAGGUAAAGGCUCACCAAGGCGACGAUCCGUAACUGGUCUGAGAGGAUGAUCAGUCACACUGGAACUGAGACACGGUCCAGACUCCUACGGGAGGCAGCAGUGGGGAAUAUUGGACAAUGGGCGAAAGCCUGAUCCAGCCAUGCCGCGUGUGUGAAGAAGGUCUUCGGAUUGUAAAGCACUUUAAGUUGGGAGGAAGGGCAGUAAGUUAAUACCUUGCUGUUUUGACGUUACCAACAGAAUAAGCACCGGCUAACUUCGUG
rnacentral:rRNA from 1 species